CGGAGUCAGCCUGAUGUAGUUGAUUCUGGUACUGGCUCAUUUUCAUCUUACAAUUUUAUCAUAUGCUUCCAUUAUUUCGUCUUCUCUGAUAGUUAUUUACAAUGUCUUUAACUCUUGCAUUUUACAUUUUCUAAUGUAUAUAAGAUUGGAGUUUAGGUUUCUCAAUUAGUUGUGUUUACUUAAUAGCUCCAGUUGGAGUCUUUUUGUCUCCUUAUCUGAUUUGUUAACUUCUAUUAGAGGAAAAUAAUUUGUUUUCUGUGGUUAUUAUUAGGCUAUGUUUCUUAUUAUUAUUUGGACAGUGUCUCAUAAUUUUUCCACCCCCUUGGACCUAUGCAAGUUAUUGAUAUAUCUACCGAGGAAUAUACUACUUGUACAUAAUAUGGUGUCCAUGUGAGUGGGACCACUUCAGAUAAGUGGGUUCUCCCUUCAUGUGAGGGGAUGGACACCUAAUGUAUGUGUAGCAUCACUCAUCUAAUGAAUACGUGGAGGAGGACAAAUUACAUAAAGCUAUAUUCUUAUGAAAAAAUAAUUUACACUCAAGAAAGCAUAAGGUAUGCUAUAUUAACUAAUUAGGAAGGAGUCUUAACACCACACUAGGUUAUUUUUAUUUUUAUUUUUUUCAAAAGGUUUUAUCCUGUUAAGGUAUUUGUAUUUUUCUUUCAUGCAAGGACAUUAAUCACUUGUUCAAUAUCCUUUGCAACAACUUUUGCAAUUGUGAUUUGUAAAUCUCAUUUAAACAUGCUGAGCAUGGUUAACAUAAGUGAGUGUAUAGGUUUGCGCAUGCACAUAUAUGAAAGACACUGGCAGUUGAUGGCAUACAUCAUCACUGGAUUAUGAAAGACACUAUUGAAUUUUGGAUACUUGCACAUUAUGCUCGCGACUUUAUUGCCGCACAAAAUGAAUUCUAUGCCUUGAGCUGAGAACUUGCAUAAUUAUCCUAUGUGGCUUGCUUUCAAGUGAUAAGAAAAUAAAAUAAAAAUUGAGUAGAAAUCCACUCUACAUAUGACUUGAACUCGGCUAUAUCUUGAUCAAGUCACAGGAUGCGAUCCUUACCAUGGAAAGUGGAUUUACGGAUCAACUGGACCAUCAUACUCAAAUAACUCCUGGCUCCUGCCCUAUCAUCACUCAGAUGCAAAAAUGCUAGGGGAAUAGAAGACCUGAUAAAGAUUACGAGAAUUGGAGAUGGAAACCUUCUAAGCAUGACCUCCCUUGAUUUGGAGCAAAGAAGUUUCUGGAGUUAAUGAGAGGAAAGACAUUACCUUUCAUUGGUGAUUCAGUAGCUCGAAAUCAGACAGAAUCAAUGCUGUACAUCUAUUUAUUUAGUUUCUUCAUCUAUUUUAGGCGUACUUCUUUCUGGUUUUUUAUAACACUUCUCCUAUUAUUCUUGUCAAUUAUUAGUCCUCUGACAACUUUCCCUUUUAAGCUCUAUUAAGCCCUCUAGAACAAUUUCAUUGGUGUCUUAUUUUUUACUUCUUCUUUCUCUCUUUCUCUCUUUCCCUUUUUCUUUUUUUUUUUUUUUUUUUUUUUCCCUUUCUUGGCGUGGGGGUGUUACUUCUGCUAUUCAUGUUUAUUCCGUUAUAGUAAAUGAAUGAUUUAUGAAAAAUCUGGAGGUUGAUUCCAGCCCUCUCCAAGCAAGUGUGUUGAAAAACCUAUUUUGGAGAAAGAACAAUACAUUGGAAGGAAACCCUUUAGAGCCUAAACCCACUAUUCUUGUAGACUCUUUCCUUUAUAUAGUUUAAACACCUAAGAAAUGAACAAAUGAACCAUCGUGAUGGUGAAUUCUACGCUGAACAUAAUGCAACGGAGAAUAAGAAUAAAACUAUAUAAUAUAAGAGUUAAACAAUGACUCCUAACCCAUUCUUAAACCACCAAGACUGGCAUGUUGAUGGUUUUAUGGUUUCUGACCUGUGAUAACUGUUUUUAGUUCUUUUUUCCCAUAUUGCCCUGUCCUUUUCCAAAGGUUAGUCCUGCUGCCUUUUUUGUGUGUGUUUGUAGUGGGUGACUUCCUUUUCCAAAUUCCAUCUUAUUAGCUCAGUACUUUUUGUUUUAAUGGCUUUUUAAGCCCCUGAAUAAAGCCUUAGUGGCCCCUGAUAAAAGUAGUUCUGGACACACAUACCUACUAUUUGACUGUACAUUUGUCUCUAUAGGUGUUUGAGUUAUAAAGGUUGGUUUUUAAGCCCUCAAAGUUUUUUUGGCCAGAAUUAUUUAAUUGUUUCCAAUAGUAGUAUAAAAGUACAUAUGGACCCAUCCACAUGGAGCAUGGUAUCAUUUCACUUUGCGCAUACAUAUAAUGGCUUUCCAAUUCAUAAUUCUAGUAUUCUUUCAGGUCGAGGUUCCAAAAAUCCGAAAAACAGAGGAAAUCGAAGGAUGCAAUAUUAUUAUUUCAGAUCUACAUCUACAAUGAUAGUUUACAUAUGGUCCUCCUGGCUUGUUCACCAAACAUCUGAGCCGUUUGACUUUGCUCCCACUGGUGUGGUUAAGCUUCACCUUGAUGUACCUGAUGAAGUAUUCUUGCAAUAUAUUAUGGAUUUUGAUGUGAUAGUCCUCUCUGGCCAUUGGUUUGCGAAGCAGUCAGUUUAUAUAUUGAACAGUGAGAUUGUAGGACAAUUUUGGUGGUAGUAAAAUUCUAGACAAAAGAAGAUCGACAGCAUUGAAGCAUUUGGAAUAUUUGUCGAAUCAAUUGUCACUGCCUUAUUCACACAUCGGAAUUACACUGGUCUAACAAUUGUCCUUAGCUUUUCACCUGAUCAAAAUGAGGGUGGAUCCUGGAACACUAGAGGAUCAUGCACUGGAAAGGUCAGGCCUGCCUUGGAUGGUGAAUUAGUCGCGAAUGGUUUUACAAAUAUAAUGCAAGAGAAGCAGAUGGCUAUGAAGAAAAAGCAAACAAAUAAACAAAGAAAUUAAUUAAUAUAACAGAAGCAUUUUCAUAUCGCCAUGAUGGACAUCCAGGUUCAUAUUGAAGCCCGGAUCCAAAUAAGAUCACUAAAAAGGGGCCUAGAUGGUAGGCCCACACCUCAGGAUUGCUUGCACCGGUGCAUGCCAGUUCCAGUUGAUACAUGGAAUGAACUCGUGUUUGAAGUUAUAAGAAAAGAAUUUAAUGACAGACAAAACAUUGCUUCGUGAGUCAUUCGUG
rnacentral:lncRNA from 1 species